GAAACACUAUUUUCCCCUUCAAAUAUGUCAUCAAAGCUCACGUUUUAAUCAUCGGCGAAUGCUCCAAUUCGUUCAACGUAUCGAGAAUCCCAAAAAUCUCUUUUUAGUAAGGCUAAGGCUUAUAACGUAUUAAACGAGCAUUAUUAUCAAUUUGUCAUGUAAAAAAAAUAUAAAAAAAAUUAACCAAGGUAAUAAAAAACAUUAAAGUUGAAUAUGACAUUCGCAAAUUUAAAUCAUGCAAGUUGUCAUGAAAACUAUAUUAUGCAAAUAAUAAUGCACUUUUUCUUGAUACUUUCCCGCAGAGCAUAAAUAUCUAAAUUUGAGAGAAUUUUC
rnacentral:lncRNA from 1 species